rnacentral:rRNA from 1 species
UACGUUCCCGGACCUUGCACACACCGCCCGUCAAGCCAUGGGAGCCGGAUGUACCUAAAGUCGGUAACCGCAAGGAGCUGCCUAGGGUAAAAUCGGUGACUGGGGCU